AAAGUGAGAUACAAUUGUUAUCGACGAUGUAUAGAUUCCGUUUGAUGAAUUGAUAUUAUAGGUUGGGAUAGAUUAGGCAGAAUUGCGAGUAAACUUAUUGGGUGUCUUCUAAUUUGGCAAAGUUUCGUAUGACCGGUGAUAUUAUCUUUUCAUUGCUAUAAUAGACAACGUCUGUCAUGAUAUCUAACAGCUGGUGACUUUUUCCCCCCUUAAAACACACCGCAACUUUCUUGUUGUUUUAUACAGAUCUGUAUAAGUACCACACCAAUUUCGCGGUUCUAAUUCCAAUUUCUGAUCAUGUUAUGUACAUCUUUUUUCAUGAGACAGCCUCAAUGGCAGGUUUUCGUCUACGUGAUGAAGUUUAUAGGUCUGCAAUUUUAUCAGCACUUUUCUAAUAAGAUUAUAUCGUCUUACCAAAUGCAAAAAUGAUUUUCUAUUUUUCUGUCUUUCUGACGCGGUUAUAUGUCUCGUAUCAAUCAAUAUUGCACUUACCUGCAAUAACAGGAAUCAUAUCUAUUAUUAAAAUUCUGUUUCUUUUUUUUUUGUCUUUAUCGAAUGAUGCAUUUCUCUGCAGCGUUUCUUGAUCCCUUUUAUUAUUCAUCACAAGCGUAAUGGUAACUUGGUUUGUCUAUUUUUGAGAAAAUUCUAAGAUAGGUCCUCCAAAAUUGAAGUAUAACUAUAUACCGCACCUUGAUGGCGAAAGGUGCAGACGUGACCUUGGAGAUAAAUUACCCCAUCCGAAAUUCCUUUUUUUUUAUCAUUUCUGCUUACCUUCCUUUUUUUUAUUUAUUCGUAUAGUUUUUUUUCUUUAUUUUAUUUUGCUCCCCUAUAACAUCAUCCGACCCGGGGAAAAUAUCGUUUUGCAUUUCAUUCCACCUCUUUCCGUUACGGUACACGCAUUUUUAUCGCCGAACAGGAUAUUGUAUUGACUUUUCUUGUGAAUUCGGUGUGUGUACGUAGAAUUUGGAUUGUAGAUUUGAUAUGUUUGUCGCAGAAAAUCGUUGUAAUUGCAAAGUAUAAAUUCAUUGAUCGAUCAGCCAGCUGUAGUCGUUACAAAAUAACGCGAAUUCUCUCUGCGUUUUAUAAAGCUCUCGAACGCUGCGUUGGAGAAAAAAAAAUUAUUAUCUCUACACACGAGCUAUAUAACCACUUUGAGGUAUAUGGGACAGUACUUUUUUAAUCUUUCGAAAUGAGCUUUAUCAUCCUACUCUUUAUUAGGGACACCGCGAAAAAUAUACUGUAUUUCAGCUGGUGAUAUUCACCGCAUCAAAUUAAUCCGGGCUUUACGCCGUUCCGUAGUUAAUUUUUGAUUCGGCCAUUUUUUUUUUUUUCUUCUGUCGUUACCGUUUUUCUUAUUCUUUCGAUGAUUCGCAACUGUUAAUUGAACUUCUUCAAAUCACGGUUCAUCCCUUGAAUGCUGAGUAGGGGCUUCAAAACUUCUGGUUUAGAAUUGGGACAAAAUUUUCUUGACGAUUUGUAAAUUUUCUAUGCGGAAGAUGAGUUUUUGAAGUCGCCGAACUAUUUUGACGAUACGACAACCAAUACAGUAAGAGGUUUGUCUCCUCUGUGGUUAUUUCUACUUGUGUUACAUUCCAUGCUCUUUGAAAUUACACGAAAACCUAAAGAAGAGAAAAUGCUACGUGAUCGAGAAAAAAAAAAAACCAGUGAUCUGAAAUACUAUAUAGCGCUGCAGUAUCGUGCUCGUCGCCAAAGACCCUUAAAAUGAUUUCGUGUACCUUUGAUGUGAGAUAUCUCUGUUGAAAAUGUAGGAGUUGCAAUAGGUGUAUAACGCGGUGAAAGUAUAUGGCAUGAAUGAAAAAUCGUUAUGCUUUGAGUCAGAAAGAGCAGGGCACUUUUGUAAAAAUUGAACCUCGAAUUAGCUGAAAAUUUAUGUCGCCUUGUUUGUACAAAAGAAUAGGAAUGAAAGAAUAUACUUCGCAAUGAUUUUCACGCGAAUAAUGGUGGUAUUUUUCCGUAGACAUGACGAUAUGUCGCUGUCACUAAAUCGCCGUCGAACCACAAUGUUCAGCUGCCGAAAGAAAUCAAGUGUAUCACAUCUACGAGUCAGGCCUCUCGAGGGACUUUUAUUUUAUUCAGUUUUCUUUUUUGUCUUCCGCACGCAUCAUCAACUCACGUUUAAAUAAUAUCACAUCUAAGGGUCCCUUCACCCUUAAAGUACCACCAUCAUUUUCAUUCUACUAACAGGCGUCGGUUUAUAAAAAAAUUCAUUACCGCGGAUGCGAGAUGAAUCAAUCACUAAAUAAAAAUAAUGAGGGUACUCCUUCGUUUUCUUGGGUCAGAUUCAAGGACCCCUGAUCCAUCAAACGUCCUCCAAGUCCAUCAAUGUCAUCAAGCUUUGACACCUUUGACUUGAUCCUCUUUUGAUGGACCACGAAUAUAUUGCUACUUGUGAUUCGAAUCGUCUAAUUGUGAGUGGAUAAACGAUGAUGCGAAUAUUUGAAAAUCUUUUUUGUUAACCCGAGGACUAAAACUGGACGAGGAACAUCCGACACACACCCAACGGGUGGAAUUCUCAAGUCCUCGGAAUAACGAAAAAGAUCUCGUGCUUUUCCUCUCCUUGAAAAAUUCCUUUUCAACUGGAACUCAAAUGAUAGUUUCCUAUUUCACAGUGGAACGCCUGGGUACCUCACAUAACAUGUGACCUCAGGAAUACAUCCUUGAUGGAAUAGCUGAAAACAUGAGCAAACUGGAUAUUUUAUCAAAGACGGUGCAAUAUACAUGCAG